GUUGUGUCGUGAACUGCAUCUGGUAAACUUGGAACGAUACAGAAAAAGAUUAGCAUGGCUCAUGCACAAGAAUGAUCCAAACGGUAUGUAAAUUGUUUCUAUUUUU
rfam:Capsicum annuum cultivar Zunla-1 chromosome 10, whole genome shotgun sequence